UUUAUUGCACGGACAAGAACAUUGUUUUGUUUUUUUAAAUCACUAGACCCUCGUAAAUACCGAAUUGUUAAAUGUAUUACCAUCGAAAGGAAGCCGUGAGGUGCAAAGUGACGCGAGGGAGAAAUCGAGGCGCAAACUACUGAAUGUCGUCUUGGGAAGCGCGAUAUAAAGAUCCCAAAAUAAGCUUCCUGUGAGAGAACACACACUCAGCUGUCCGGCACUUUCAUUGGCAUAGCAGCCGUCUGUUACUGUUGGAGUCACAGUCAGAGAUGCCAGACAUGCCGACAUCAGCAAACCACAAGUUUGGGAGGGGAGGCGGGCACCAGGACCACCGGGACAGGUGCUGCUCCAGAAAGUAGCCGCGAUGACAGCAGCCACUGCGAGAUAAUGGAGUUAUUACAGAUCAGGACAAGCAGCAAGAGUGUCUGGAGUUUUAGCAGUGACAGAAAUGAAUCAUGUCCAAAAGUUAAUGACAAAACCUGUUCAAAUAAACUGAGCUGGGAUUGUGCGGCAAGUUUAAACAAUGUAAUGGUUUAUGUGAGUUCAGCAAAGAGCCUCCCUGCUUGUGCGUAUUAAUAGUUCCUCUGAUUUGUCAGAUUCUUGGCAGCGGUGACGACAUGCUGUGUGCUUUCUGAUUAACUCUUUGGGAUUCUGACCAACACAGAGCUUUGGUCCGUGUUGUCAGUCAACUCCUACUAAUUGCUGCCGGCAGGGAAUGUGGACGGAGGCGGGCGGUGGGAUUGUUUAUCUCGCUCGGUACUUUGGGGAAUAAUUAUUUCUGGUAGUUGGGUCCGUAAUGACGUUGGUGAGGCAAGCUCAGGGUUGCUGGUUCAUACCCCCCCACAUGGACCGCAUACACAGACUGUAUGAACAUAUGUUGGGAGUCAUUUUGGGGCUCUUUCAUUUGCCCGGGAGCAAUUUUUCUCGAAAGCUCUGUUAUGUCUUCUGAAAUGAAUUAAUAGUGUAGU